rnacentral:rRNA from 1 species
AUGGCCAAAUGCGGUCCCUCGAUGCCAACGAGAAUGAGGCAAAAAUGGGGUUCCUCGGCGCUAGCGAGAAGGAGGCUGAUGGGUUCCGUGGAGCAAUAUAAUGCGGCGGCAAUAGCGUAUCAAGCUAGGGUCAUGUGGAAGGGUCACAUCAAAGAGAAUGGCAUGGGAAACUUGUACCUUCAGUGCAUACUACUCGAUCGGCAUGGAACAAAGAUGGAAGCGAUUGCAUACAACAGCCAGGCAAUCCGUUUCAACAGGGUGCUAGAAACCGGUAGGACAUAUGAUUUCAAUUACGUCGGGUUCAACCCCACCGAAAUGCCAGCUGGACAUUUCUGGUACCUAGCCAUGGACUUUGUCACCACACUAAGUUCUACGACAGAGGUUACGAUGUCGGCGCACCAGAUAACGUCGACAAUUUGCCCACCGUGCUUCCCACAGUUUGGAGAAAUCUUUCAGCAACGGGACAAAACCAUCACGGAUGUGGUUGCUAUCCUUGCCUACGUUGGUCAGAUAGAAUUUAAGUGGGAUUCAAUAUAUAGGCGCCGCGUCCCUUCCCUCGAGAUUGGCCUCAUGAACUUUCACCGGCAGAUAAUUUUCUUACGUGUACGUGAAGAGCACGUUGGGUCUCAGUUCUUGCAUUUGCAAUGCACUGAUAAUUUGUUCGAGAAGUUUGCUGUAACUUACAUACAGGCAUUAUCCUGGGAUAACAACACGCGCAUCCACGCAUCCGCCCGAGUCCUCUGGUCCAUGUUCUCCCUCACUUAUCCCUCCUCAAUUUAUGCCAUGUCGAUCCUAACAUGA